rnacentral:lncRNA from 1 species
CCCGGCGGGGAUCGCGCUCCCUGCUACAGCAAAAGUGUGAGCAACUCUGCCAUCUUAUUCUCCUCCACAACUGGACAUUGGCCAAGAAUGAAGACGGUCCUUCUUCUUGGAUUCUUGGGGAUGCUGAGCCUCUGCACUUUUGUCCAGGGACUCAAGUGCAGGGAUUGUGAACUCAUAAAUGCUGAAGCAUGUCGCCUCAAGAAAUCAAUGGAAUGUAAACCAAAAUUUCGGCUGUGUUACACAAGAUCCGUCUAUGAUGCAGAUACUAAAGAAUUUCAGGGAGUGAAGGUUGGAUGUGUGAAUGAUAUCUCCAUGAAACGGACUUGUAACAAGACCCUCGCUUCACACCUGGACCUUUACAUCACAACUUGUUGCAGAACCAACAUGUGUAAUAAAGGGCAACGUGCAGAUUUCCCUCCUCCUCGUUGUGCCAAGAAGAAAGAAAAUUCCACCUUGUGAAGGAACAAAAUCCCCCCAUGAUCCCCUGCUAAUUUCCAUAGAAAAGAAAAGUGGAGCGCCUGGGGANAUCUGCUUUAUCAUCUAUGUACACCAUCCCAUGUAUCUUUGAGAAAGGGUGGAACCUAAAUAUGUUAUUCAAUAA